GGGCUUCUGGGGCUGCAGGCGCUGCCCUGCCCCUCCCUCGCCCUGCUCGGGCAGCGGCUGACGCUGGACGCGUCCACCCCCGCGGUGCAAGACUUGGCCCGGGUGGCCCUGGACAGCUACAACCGGGACAGCAACAGCAGUUUCUACUUCUCAGCCCCGCGGGUCGUCAAGGCCCAGGCGCAGGUGGUGUCCGGGAUGCUCUACUAUCUGACCGUCGUCCUGGACAGCGUCGACCGCGGGAAGGAAGCGAGGACGGCGAUGCCCAAUCCGGCCAACUGCAGCCUCGUCCAGGGCCCGGAAAACCAGCUCCAGUGUGACUUCCAAGUGCUGGUGAUGCCCUGGAAGGAGGAACCGCGGCUCCUGAGGACCAACUGCAGUGCCUGGCCGCCCUCGUAGAAGCCCGGCCAAAGAGCCCGAAGGCCGGCUCUG